UGGGGAAUAUUGGACAAUGGGCGAAAGCCUGAUCCAGCCAUGCCGCGUGUGUGAAGAAGGUCUUCGGAUUGUAAAGCACUUUAAGUUGGGAGGAAGGGCAGUAAGCGAAUACCUUGCUGUUUUGACGUUACCGACAGAAUAAGCACCGGCUAACUCUGUGCCAGCAGCCGCGGUAAUACAGAGGGUGCAAGCGUUAAUCGGAUUUACUGGGCGUAAAGCGUGCGUAGGCGGCUAAUUGAGUCGGAUGUGAAAUCCCCGAGCUUAACUUGGGAAUUGCAUUCGAUACUGGUUAGCUAGAGUAGGGCAGAGGGUGGUGGAAUUUCCUGUGUAGCGGUGAAAUGCGUAGAUAUAGGAAGGAACACCAGUGGCGAAGGCGACCACCUGGGCUCAUACUGACACUGAGGUGCGAAAGCGUGGGGAGCAAACAGG
rnacentral:rRNA from 1 species